CGCCCCGGCCGACGGCAGGUGGCGCUUUAACACAACACCUCCCGGGCACGUGGGCUUGCUCUCUCUCUCUCUCUCCUUUUCCCUUUCUCCCUGUUUUUCUAAGGCAAAGAAAUCCAUAUAAAGCCCAAGAGGCUGCAUUCUCCCUUCCCCCCGUCUGCAUUUUCGGUGCUUUGUCCCUUUUCUCCCCGUGUUUUCCCUCCCUCGGCGGCGACCGGAGACGCAGCGGGACCGUUUGGCCGCGCCCGGCCCGCGUGCGUCCCGCCCCAGGCGGAGGCCGGAGUAACGGUCUGCGGGGUUGGGCUGGGGCGGGGGCCCGGUCCUCGCGUUCCAUCUGGCCACUCCCGAGGCUGGUUCUGAACCCGGUUCCCGGGACCCGCGAGCUUCGGCACGGCCCCGCCCCCCGGGCUCUCCAGCCCGCCCUGUCCCCUCCCCCCACCCCCCGCUCCCCACUCCUUCCCGUUCCCCCUCUUCCUCUUUGUCCCCUCCCCCUCUCUCGGUCACCAGCGCCCUCCGGAGCAGCCUCGUCCUGAACGUCUAGCGAGGAGCCAGCACGCCUUGCGGGGCCUUGGCUGUUUUAGUUAGCGACACGGACCGAGGAGAAAAUCGCUGUUACCCAUCUGUGGAUAUUCUGCGGGGAGAUUGAAAGAAAACCUGCUUCCUAUUCAUUGCCUGUCGUCAUCGCUGCCUUCACACCCUCCAGCGCUGGCGAGCCGGCAACUUUGAGUAAUUCCCCGAGAUACUGCCCAGAGUAUUUCGCGAGACAAGUCAGCCUCUUAGGACUCACACAGUGACCCCAACCCGCUGCUCCCUUUCGGGUUCCUUUCCUGCAAAUGACACUGCAGUGCUUGCACAUUGCAGUUUCCUGAUGUCUUUAGUCACAGAAAAUGGUACCCUGUUUUCACAUUUUUCACAGACCAUCGCGCGCGCGCGGUUGUGUGAGUGUGUUGUGAGUGUGUGUGUGUGCGCGCGCGCGCCCGCGUGCCACCAUUGCAGUACCCCCCCCCCCCACGUUAUUCAUCCUAAAGAAAAACACUGCGUCCAAUCCUUGUGAUAUUCAAGCCAAUCCUGUGGGCAAUCUAUGCUCUCCAGCCAUCGGAACCAGAGGAAUUUACAGUCAUCCAUACAGGGUGACCUCAAGUCUGGAGAUGUAUAAAACCGAAGGCAGUGUGUGAAAAUCCGUAUUCCCUCCCACAA